rnacentral:rRNA from 1 species
AGCGAACGCUGGCGGCAGGCCUAAAACAUGCAAGUCGAGCGCCGUAGCAAUACGGAGCGGCAGACGGGUGAGUAACACGUGGGAACGUGCCUUUUGGUUCGGAACAACACAGGGAAACUUGUGCUAAUACCGGAUAAGCCCUUACGGGGAAAGAUUUAUCGCCAAAAGAUCGGCCCGCGUCUGAUUAGCUAGUUGGUGGGGUAACGGCCCACCAAGGCGACGACGGGUAGCUGGUCUGAGAGGANGGCCAGCCACAUUGGGACUGAGAGACGGCCCAGACUCCUACGGGAGGCAGCAGUGGGGAAUCUUGCGCAAUGGUCAAACGACUGACGCAGCGACGCCGCGUGUGGGAGGACGCCUUCGGGU